ACGCUCGACACCUACGGGAGGCAGCAGUGGGGAAUAUUGGGCAAUGGGCGAAAGCCUGACCCAGCAACGCCGCGUGAGGGAAGAAGGUUUUCGGAUUGUAAACCUCUGUCCUCAGGGACGAAGGACGUGACGGUACCUGAGGAGGAAGCCCCGGCUAACUACGUGCCAGCAGCCGAGGUAAUCUGAGGCGGGCUGGCAAGGC
rnacentral:rRNA from 1 species